AGAUUAUUAUGAUAUUUUUAUUAAAUAUUAAGGGUAGAAAUUAUGGAUUGAGUAAAAAAUACAAAUGUAAAGAAAGAAAGUUUGAGGUAAUUAUAAAGUUUUUCAAAGUUUUUGACCUUCAUUUUUAGAAAGGUCUAGAGAUGUCAAAUUUUCUUGACCACUUCAUCUCAUGUCAUCCUUACUCAACCUCUUACUUUCUACACUCUUAUAACUUGGAUGUGCUAAAUCUUCCACCUAUGUAUCAGCUAAUCUACACCAAAUCAAGCCAAACAAUCUGAAUCGAAUGUCCCUUAACUUAUCUUAAUAGGUGCCACUUCCGUUUUCUUACUAAUGUAUUAGUUUCUCCCCAAAUUGUUGUAUUUCCACAAAUCCAUCUUAACAACAUCAUCUUGUAGACAUAUGAUAUUAGCCUCACUUGACAUUCACUAUCAUGCAUCAUACCAAUCAAACACAUCACCUAACAUCCACUACCAUGUGUUGUGUCCGUCUAUCUAAUGUAUCACUCGACAUCCACUACCAUACAUCAUAUUGAUCUAUAGUGUAGCCUUAUACAAGUAUUCUUUAAUAUACUACUAUAUUGCUUUACUUAAUGGUCCAAAAGGAGAUCACUUCACAGUUUCCUAAAAAAAGAGUUUAUGUUAUGCUAAUAAGGGUAAUAGGAACUAUGAGAAUGUAUGGGAGGAAAAUAU
rnacentral:misc_RNA from 1 species